rnacentral:rRNA from 1 species
CACGUAGGGGGCGAGCGUUAUCCGGAAUCAUUGGGCGUAAAGGGUGCGUAGGCGGCCUUUUAAGCGCGGGGUCUAAGGCGGUGGCCCAACCACCGUUCGCCCCGCGAACUGAGGGGCUAGAGUGUCGGAGAGGGAAGCGGAAUUCCUAGUGUAGCGGUGAAAUGCGUAGAUAUUAGGAGGAACACCAGUGGCGAAGGCGGCUUCCUGGACGAAAACUGACGCUGAGGCACGAAAGCGUGGGGAGCGAACAGG